rnacentral:rRNA from 1 species
UACGGGGGGGGCGAGCGUUGUUCGGAAUUACUGGGCGUAAAGGGCUCGUAGGUGGCCAACUAAGUCAGACGUGAAAUCCCUCAGCUUAACUGGGGAACUGCGUCUGAUACUGGAUGGCUUGAGAUUGGGAGAGGGAUGCGGAAUUCCAGGUGUAGCGGUGAAAUGCGUAGAUAUCUGGAGGAACACCGGUGGCGAAGGCGGCAUCCUGGACCAACACUGACACUGAGGAGCGAAAGCCAGGGGAGCAAACGGG